UGGGCUUGACAUGCUGGUGAAAGCCUCACUUUCAUGAGGCUUUCACCAGCAUGUCAAGCCCAGGUAAGGUUCUUCGCGUUGCUUCGAAUUAAACCACACGCUCCGCUGCUUGUGCGGGCCCCCGUCAAUUCCUUUGAGUUUUAGCCUUGCGGCCGUAGUCCCCAGGCGGGGUGCUUAUUGCGUUAGCGACGGCACCGGAGGGGUCGAUACCCCCGACACCUAGCACCCAUCGUUUACAGCGUGGACUAC
rnacentral:misc_RNA from 1 species